AAAAAACUGAUAUUUUCAUGUCACAUAUAGUUUUUGUGAUAAUAUUGUACGUUUGUACUGCACUAAUUCCGAAUCUCCCGCGCCUAAGCCCUAACCGGCUCUAAUUCUCAACUCCUCCGUUUGAUUUCUCCGGCCACCGCCAGAUUUUCUACUGGAAAGAUUUAUCUCGUGAGAUUUAUUGAAGAUCACCAGCCAUUCGAACUCUUU
rnacentral:lncRNA from 1 species